rnacentral:tRNA from 1 species
AGCUCAGUUGGGAGAGCACCUGCCUUACAAGCAGGGGGUCACUGGUUCGAGCCCGGUA